rnacentral:lncRNA from 1 species
GCAGUUUGGAAGUACCACCCAAACCUAAAAGCUGUUCCUACUCUAGAACUUUCAGAUAAAUCCAAAACACAGGUGUUAACUAAAGAUAGUAAUUAAAAUGGUAUUUCAUUUUUAAAAAAGAAGUUUCCUCCUGUCAGAACAAUCAGCACAUGACAUCUAGUAAAAGGAAAGUUCUUUCAGACUAAGAAAAAAACUUAAGAAUUGAAAUAAAAAAAUCAGAUCUUUGACACUUGAUCUGAGGCUCAACCAGGGAAGUGGCCUGGUUUUGCUGGGUGAGGCUGAGCAGGGAGAAGGAGGAAGGAAAGUAGCAGGGGUAGGGAGGAGCUUGAUCUACACGUCAUUGCAAUGACCUUGAAGAUGUUGUACUAAAUGUGUAUCCAGAGGGUCCGCGCUGAGGGUGAGCAGUCAGAGCGCAGGUGUGAAGACAGAGGCAGACACUGGCCACAAUUAGUGGCUCAGAAAUUCAAUACAGAUUAAUGGAAGAGCUAAUUGGCAUAAGAACCAAAGUAGGAACCUGUAAAACAAUCAAACCCAAGCUUCCUUACCAUAUCUGCUCAUAAAAGAAAGUCAUGGUCAUGUCCCUUUCAAGUGAUGGAGGUGGGUUAGGAGUGUAGGAGUUGCUAAGCUGAAGCUAACGAUCCCUGAAGCCAAAGGUGUCUUCAAAGUGGCCCAAUUCAGUUCAGCAAGAACAAAAUGAGUUUCUUGUUAGACACGUUGUGCUGACACUUGUGAGUGACUGCAUUCUUACAACCAAGGUACUUGUCCCAGUCACCAUCCUGUGAUCUAUAAAAGAAUAGACUCACUCGAAAGGAAUCUUUGCACUAGAGAAUGCCCAGGAACCAAACCUGAAAUCACACAGAAACAUCAUGAACCCAGGAAGAAGCUGAAAGUGUGAAAAUGUCAUAUCCUGUCUAGUAAAUAUAUGGCCCUAAUGUUUAUAUGUUAUAAGAAUCCUUAUAUCUGGAAUCUAAUAUACUGCACAAAUGAAACUUUCCACAGAAAAGAAACUCAUGGACUUGGAAAACAGGCUUGUGGUUGCUGAGGGGGAGGGAGUGGGACAGACUGUGAAUCUGAUUUUAAUAGAUGCAAACUACUGCCUUUGGAAUAGAUAAACAAUGAGAGAGAUCCUGCUGUAUAGCACUGGGAACUAUAUCUAGUACUUAUGAUGGAGCAUGAUGGAGGAUAAUGUGAGAAAAAGCAUGUAUAUAUGUAUGUGCAACUGGGUCACCUUGCUAUACAGUAGAAAAUUGAUGGAACACUGUAAACUAGCUAAAAUGGAAAAAAUAAAAAUAAUUUUAAAAAAUCCCUGACUAAUGUUUUGUAUAUAUAAUUUUCUCUUUUUCUUUUUAGAUUUUUAAAAGUAUAAUAAUACAAUUUAAAAUAUUGUUAAUGGUAGGCACAAUGCUAUAGAGCAGAUCUCUAGAUUAAAACUGAAAAUAUAUUCCUUUUUAUACACAUAUAUAUACCUGAGAAAUAUAUUUAGUCUUUAUUUAAUCAGGGAUUUUGGAGUUUCUGGGUUUUGUUAAGGGCAGCAUCCUAAAAUUGGGGAUUAUGAUUAUUCUAUAUGAUGUUUACAUUACAGGACUCUAAAUUGCAGCACUGAAAUAUAUUAGGAAAAAAGAUACACAGAUAAAUAGGUGUGUAUCUAUAAAAUUCAUAUAUAUGAUAUAUGUGAUAGGUAUUAUACCCACACACAUAUAUAUGUGUAUAUAUAUCAGUUUUUUAUUUCUUGGAGAUUUUCAGAAAUUUUCUUAGAGAGAUAUAUAUAAGAUGCAAACUGUUACAUUUAGAAUGGAUAAGCAAUGAGGUCCUAGUGUACAGCACAGGGAACUAUAUUCAGUCUCUUGGAGUAGAACAUGAUGGAAGUUGGUAUGAGGCAAAGAGUGUAUAUACAUGUAUGACUUGAUCACGCUGCUAUACAACAGAAAUUGACACAACACUGUGAAUCAACCAUACUUUAAUAAAAAUAAAGUAAAAUUUAAAAAAGAAUAUAUAAAUAUUCUUAAUACCAAGGCAGAAAAAGCCUGAGAAUGGUGUCUGAGAAGAACUUACACUUCCUCAAGGGGACCUGACAUGCCUAGUGACCCAGCUGCUCCAGACAGUAAAGAUCAGUGAAUUGUCACUUUCCAUUCCUAGUCAUUUAAAGCACCAGUCAGCUGCCGGGCUGCCCAGCAUCUUUUCCUGGCCCAGUUAUUCUUAGUGACUGCCAAUAGCAGCAUGUUUCAGAAAGGAGAGAGAAAACAUUCUAACUCAAACUUACUCGAUGGAGAUUUACUCCGUGCCUAAAACACCCAACAGCUUUUCAUGUUAUGUGUGGAGACCCAAUCAAAAAUGGGAAAAAGUGAAACUGUAUUCUUUGAAUCAAUGUGAAUUUGAAAGACACAAAGAUGACAGCUGUCCUUACUGAAAGGGAACAAGACACUGAAGAAGAAGAAAUGUCAUCCCUCAACAAGCGGAAAGGGAACUACGGCGUUGCAUCUGGAGAGUCUUCUCGGAUAAAACAGGUUGAAUUCCAGGAAACGGCAGAAGUAAAAUGCACUGCAAACUAGGAAUCAAACAGCGCUGCCUUGUUUUUUCUUUCAGAAUUUCAUACAGAGACAUGUACAUUUUUAUUUUCUAUCACAAACAAGGACUUUUUUUUUUUUUUAAAAAAAAAAACAGAAAAUCCACUAUGUUGCAAACCUACAUACACUGUCAGGGAGACAACAUCCUAUUUUACAGCCACAAGAUAGAAGUGGCUCAAAAGAUAAGAGCUUUUCUAGAUAUGGUUUCUUGGGCUGGAUGUUACUACUGAGACAUCCACUGGUUAAAUCUUAAUUGGUCAUAAAUAGUAUGACUGUAACAGCCCACACAGACAUUCUCCUAUUUCCUCAAAGACUCACUCCCCAGGAAUUUCAUUUUCUUCUCCAUCUCUCCUAAUAAACUCCUUCAGAAGGGAGAAUGCAAUUGAGGUCUCUUUAGAUCUUGAGUUUCCAGCACAAUGUUUGGCCACAGACAGCAGGUGUUCAGUAAAAUUAUAAUAAAAUGUUAUAUUAAUUAUCUGUUUUUUAAGUGCAUAUUGACUAAUGAUUGUUGGAAAUUAGGUAUGACUCUGCCACCUAUUUUUUUAUUUUUAGUGAAGCUUGGAAAAGGUUUUGUAGUAAAAAAAAAUGGAAAUGAAUGGUUCUAUAAUGUGAUUCUCCAUUAAAUUUACUUGAGUAUCAGUUCUCCUUCGUUAAAAUGAAUAACAGUAGAGUUGAAAUCAAGUAAUCCAGGCUCUUGAGACCAUAAUAAUGACCAAAACAGUUUUGAAUGGACUAUGGAAGAGGGAGUUCAAAAAUCUAAACUGGAGGUCUUGGGACCUCCUGUGAAGGAGGGGGUCCUGUUAACUCUUUGCAUGGGUGCCUCUUUGACUCCUGACAGAGGGUUGGGCCAACAUUGCUGCUCAGGAUAUGUAUGAGGGAUAUGGCACAGUAAGCUUAAUUGGCCAGGAAAAAUGAACUCAGACUAAGAAGGAACAGGACCCUGGUCUAAACUUCUUGCGGAAAUAAUGACUUCCUGGCUAGCCUGUGAGCUCCUGGUGAAAAGCCAAAGGUCUCACACAUUUUUAUUUCUCUGGUAUACAGUGCAGUGCUUGAUACAUGGGCCCUACUUAAAUAUUUAGGAAAUUAAUAGAGGAGCAACUAUUCCAGACAGAAUGAAGGCAUAGGUCAGCAUCUCCUCUUCCCCAAUGUACAGGGUAUUUUUGCUACUAUAACAGUGCAUGAGCGGGAAAGACGACAUAGUUUUUCUAGCUCAUUCUUGCAAUGAUCUUUUUUUAUUUUCCUGUUCUCUUUUAUUCUUGGUACUAUUACUGUUCAUGACUUACUUAGAACUGGAAAUUUUGAGCUUAAAAGCAAGAAACCAAAAAAUCCAGUUGUAAAGAUGUUUUGACCUUAAAAUUGUGUCACCUAAUAUUUAUUCUAAGGAAAUUGUAUUGUUGAUGGUUGGUUGUAGAAUGCCACCAACAGUGAAAGUCAAGAGAGCUAAUUACAAGAGAAUAGACUGAAGGAAAUGGAACAAAAAAGAAGCCUGGAUUUUCCUGCUAGUUCUUAUUCUUCCCUUUCUGAGGUUUUGGUAUCUUUCAAAGUACGUCAUCUGCCAGAUAAAGUAUGUUAUUUGCCUCCAUCUCAAAGCUAUGAUUCUGAGAUCAAAAUGAUUUGAUCAAAGUGACUGGGUUGAACAAUCUCUCCAUUGAAGGGAGAUUGAAAUGACCUCCAGUGUCUCCAUCCUUGGCCUCAGUGUCCAAAUUCAAAAAUAAAGAUAACAAGUACCUCACCAGAUGCUCAUAGAAACAAAAGAUAAACUAAAGUAAAGCAUCUGGGCACAAGUUCACGCUCCCCAUCGAAAUUUGUCUCUUUCUUUCAAAACAUAGAUGGUAUUGGCCAGUCGUAUACAUUUAAUCCAAGAAAUUGGUUGUUCUCUCUGUUUGCAGGUGGUGACCCCUGACAGAACAGAAGACAUUCUCCUGGGAUUGCUCAUGGCUGUGGUCCACACAACCUAGGGAAGACAGAUCAGCAGGUUUUAAAAUCCAGAAGGAUGAGUACCUUUUGCAGCUGAAUGACAGAUCUGUCAGAGUGAAGUUCCUUGUUCUUAGGACAGUAACUUGGGCAAUAUCUGAGCGGUGGAAACAUGGGGAAGCCAAAACAAGUCUCAAGUAUGUUUCAUGGUCGUUUCUGAAAAGAGUCAAGGGAGAAGGUGAAAGCUUGCAGGUAUUGCAUUUGGCCGUCUUCCUUGCAGGUGGAUUUAUUCAUCAAGUUGGGGCCAGUGGCACUAAAAGCCAUAUUGUGUGGUCUAUAUGUAAUAUCAUAGAGGUGGCACUUAGAAAAGAAUGAGUAUUUCCAAACAAAAUUCAGGUAUUCGUUGGUAUAUAGGUAGAUGUGAAUACAGAUAUAGAUAUAGAAGUAGAUAGAUUGAUAUAGUGAUAUACGGACAUCACACACCUAAAUAAAUAAAUAAAUAAAACCCACCCUAAUCUUGUAAUCAUUUUGGUUUCUCUCCUGGACUAUUAUUUUUUUAGGACCUCCAUUAAAACUAAUUUUUGUUCUCUUUAUCAAAAUGUAUUUUUUUAUUUUCUAAUUUUAAAAGCUUAUUUAUCAAAGAAUCCAUGUACAUCUUUUAAAAAAACAAAUAUUGCUAAAAAGACCAAAAAGAGUUCCUGAUUUGGCACAAGCAGAUUGGUAGCAUCUCUGGAGUGCUGGGACUCAGGUUUGAUUCCAGGCUCCACACAAUGGGUUAAGGAUCUGGUGUUGUUGCUGCUGUGGUGUAGGCUGCAACUACAGCUCAGACAUGAUCCUUAGCCUGGGAGCUCCAUAUGCCUCAGGGAAG